UACGAAGGGGGCGAGCGUUGUUCGGAUUUACUGGGCGUAAAGGGCGCGCAGGCGGCGAUCUUUGUCAGGCGUGAAAGCCCCGGGCUCAACCUGGGAACUGCGUUUGGGACGGGAUUGCUAGAGAUCGGGAGAGGUGAGUGGAAUUCCUGGUGUAGCGGUGAAAUGCGUAGAUAUCAGGAGGAACACCUGUGGCGAAAGCGGCUCACUGGACCAUAACUGACGCUGAUGCACGAAAGCUAGGGGAGCAAACAGG
rnacentral:rRNA from 1 species